rnacentral:lncRNA from 9 species
GUAGAAGUGACUUGUUGAAGCUCCUUAUAAAUAGCAGGCUCCAAACUGAAUUGAGGACUUCCUGUUUUAGACCUUAAAGCUAGUCUUCUUCGAAUAAAUUUCCAGAACUCAGGCCAAACCUUUUCCCCCCAAAAAAAACCCCAAUAGUGUGAAUUUCCCCUUAGGCUCAGGGACCUGCCCUGUCCUAGCCCAGAGAGAAGGAGCUGAGCUGAAAGCCCUUGAACUCCAGCUUUCCAGCCCUCUGUGCAGUCCUGCCUUCUCAAGGGGCCUCAGCUCUGGAGCAGCUGAGUAUAACUGACAGCUUGCUGGGCUGUCACUUCCUCUGAACUCCUGUUGUCCUUCCAGAGCUCCUGGUUUUCCUGCCUUGCAGUCCAGCUGCAGAAAUAGUUACAGCCUGCCUCCCUCCGGGUGCAGCCCAGGGGGGUGUGUGACCCAGAGUCUGGCCCCAAGCAGGGGAUUCGUCUGCUUGUCUCUUCUCAUCUGCAUUAGUGUUAAUUCACCACCACCCCCAGAGGAACUUGACCAGUGUCCUCACUUCAGAGGGCUGAAUCUGCAGCCCAGAGGAGUUAAAUGACUUUCUGGAAGUCAGGCAAGGAAAGGACAGCUUAGAUUCCUGGCAGGAGCUUCCUGCCAGGAGCUUCCUACCCAGCCCCCAUGCUCUAACAUCUCCCCUAUCCUGUCUUACCUGUGAUACCAAGAGCAGGAGCACUGACUCCUGGAGAAGAGGCGUCGUGAACUCAGGGAUGAAAGAUACAAGAGUCCAUGUGGCUUACCCCUGCCUCCAGCUGGAACUCACAUCACAGCUGCCCUAUUUACUUACCUACCGGCUGCAUUCCUUAGAACCAGUUUUGUUCCUGUUCAAAAGGAAACCAGGCAGAGUAGGGAAAAUAUUUCCUCCGCCAGCUCCUCAGCACGGCUGUCUGAGGGAGACCAUCUGACCAUGAUGCCCCUCAAGUAAGUAAAUAGUUUUGCCCCUCCCUGAGCAGAAGAGGGUAUAUGAAUAGGGCUGAGAAAAUGGCAGGCUCCUGCGGUGGACUGAUGCUGUGGUUGUUCUAACUGAUUUUCCUCAGGUCUGUGGAGUCCAGUGGUAUGCUGGUAAAUGUUUAAUAACCAGUCCUCUGAGAGGUGAGGAGGUGGGUGCUGUUGUGGAAUAUCUGCUGAAU